UCGAGAGUUUGAUCCUGGCUCAGAUUGAACGCUGGCGGAAUGCUUUACACAUGCAAGUCGAACGGUAGAGGGGGCAACCCCUCGAGAGUGGCGAACGGGUGAGUAAUAUAUCGGAACGUGCCCAGUCGUGGGGGAUAACGUAGUGAAAAUUACGCUAAUACCGCAUACGAUCUAGGGAUGAAAGCGGGGGAUCGCAAGACCUCGCGCGAUUGGAGCGGCCGAUAUCAGAUUAGGUAGUUGGUGGGGUAAAACGCCCACCAAGGCGACGAUCUGUAGCUGGUCUGAGAGGACGACCAGCCACACUGGAACUGAGACACGGUCCAGACUCCGUAC
rnacentral:rRNA from 1 species